CGCAACGAGAUCUCUCGCUGUUGAACGAGGUGUGUUUUGUUUGGGUUUGGAAUAAAAACCCCACAGGAUGGUAGAUCUCCAGGAACAUGGUUGGUUACCACUGGGCUAAAGACACGUCUUUGACUUUGAGACAAUGUCUUUUGUGCACGGAGGCCCUGGAGCGCCAUUCCCGAAACCGUAUCCGCGCGCAGGUGGCAAACUGGCUUUUUGAAAGCGGGCGUACUGAGACCGCUCCUCGCGCGGAGGCGGUUGGCGGGGAAUUGGGAGUUCACCGAGGUUAUCUGAAGGCGUAGAUGAGCCCGCGUUGCGGUCUAGACAAGCUCUGGCUGGUUUCCACCCUGGCAACCCAGGAGACCGUGAACGCCUUCCCUAAUGGUGGCCGCCUCACCUAGCAACGCACACAGACUACAGCUCCAGUGACCUGCCGGGUGUUGCAGACGCAUGAUUUACAAUGGAUACAGCACAGAGGGGAACAAAUCUACCGUGCGCCUAUACCAACAGCGCGGACACAGGACACUUACCCCAAAUAAUCAAAGCUGUUCUGUUAUGGGCCAGAGCGCACGAGGAAUGCGUUUAGUCGCGAUGCCUCGAGACAGCGCGUGUGUGACACCUCAUCUCCAUCGCCCCGCGCCUCGCUGCCGCAGCAAUUUAACCAACCGGUUCCUCGGAAUGACAGGUUGGAGCUUCGUGUGCGCGAGGAGGUAAGGGGUGAGUCAGGACGAGCGUGACCGCAAAAACCGCGGCCAGGGACGAGGUGGCGACUGCACCUGGCUGCCGAGGGGUGUGACAGUGAGUGCUGGGGUCCUGGGUGCGCCCGUUUAUAAUCUCUCAGAUUAUCCGAAAAAAGUCAGAGUGACAAAAAGCGUCUGCAGCUCUUAAACGUUGAAGAAAUAUCCGAAACCGGGACGCGGGCCAGAUAUCGACGAAAGUGCUUUUAUGAAAAAUAUUGGUCAGAGGAGCCCCUGGUGAUGAAUGACCAUAGCGACAUGUGAUGUAGACACUGUACACUGCACUCUUUGAUUAUGAAAACACAGGAUGUGACCAUAAAUAAUGGAUAUUUUGGGGUGGGGGGUGGGCGAGGGUUGAAAUGGUGUGUGGCACGAUACUGUUUGCUAUAAUGAUGGUGCUCUCCUGCAGCAGUAUUAACAGAUGCGGAGCGAGUACCGUAUGUGUGAUGCUGUUCGGAAAAUGUUCAUCCUGCCAUUGCCUUAUCUUCAUUAUGGUGGACCGGAUCUGUGCAUAUCUGGAUUUUUUUCUGCUGUACGAGUGACUGUGAAGUUUUAGAAAGAUCGCUGAGUCGGGCUGCUGGGUGGCUCAUCCUGUUAAGGCACUGUUCUAGUGUGAGGACGGGUCUGGUACCAUGGCCUGGUAUUGAAUCUGGACGGUACCGGCGUCGACUGCGGCUGGCAAGCAUCGUCCCAGGAUAGGAGGGUUUCAGUCACAACAUAUCAUUGUACACCGGCAAUCCCGUUCGGUCGAUCGGUUACCUGUAAUUUUGUCUCUUGAAUCACACAUGAAGUGUCUUCCUGCGACUCUCGUCUGUGUGAGCUCGACUUGUGACCUGAAGUGUGAUAAGAAGCGCCAUCAUAUGCUUCUGAGGAGAGAACAUGCUCAUCCGUGAUCCACCAAAUUGUAAUGAAUGCUUCAGAAUGACAACCUCUAGUUCGAUUUUUUUUGUUUGUUUAUGUACUAAGCAGGUGGUCUUACCUUACCAGAGUGA